ACAACGGAGAGUUUGAUCCUGGCUCAGGAUGAACGCUAGCGGCAGGCUUAACACAUGCAAGUCGAGGGGCAGCGGGGUGUAGCAAUACAUCGCCGGCGACCGGCGCACGGGUGCGUAACACGUAUGGAACCUGCCCUAUACUGGGGGAUAGCCCUCCGAAAGGAGGAUUAAUACCCCAUAAUAAGUUGAGUGGCAUCACUUGGCUUUGAAAGCUCCGGCGGUAUAGGAUGGCCAUGCGCACGAUUAGCUAGUUGGUGAGGUAACGGCUCACCAAGGCUACGAUCGUUAGGGGGCCUGAGAGGGUUAUCCCCCACACUGGUACUGAGACACGGACCAGACUCCUACGGGAGGCAGCAGUGAGGAAUAUUGCGC
rnacentral:rRNA from 1 species